rnacentral:lncRNA from 1 species
GGGGUCGGGAAGGGGGGGGGCCCUGAGGCGUGGGAGGGGGCGUCCCCGUGGCGGGGCUCCCCCUGAACCCCUCGUUGGUGGGCUCGGCCACAAGCGGAGGUCGCAGGGGGCGUCCCCCAUUUGGGGGGGGGGGGGGGGUGUUUGGGGGGGGGGUCCCACGGCAGCGUUCCCCCCCAGGGGCGUCACUGGGGCAGCCCCUCGGGGCCCCCCCCCUCCAGGCCCCUCUGCUGCAGCUGCGCCCGCAGUACGGCGUUCUCACUCUGCAGUUCCUCCACCUGCUGGCGCAGCAGGUCGUUGUCCAUUUGCAGGCGCUCCGCCUCCUUGAAGGUCUCCUGCAGGCGUUGGUUGCUCUGCCGCAGCUCCCGCACGUAAUCGCACGCCUUCGAUAGGAUCCCACCUUUGCUCGCCCCCGUCUUGCUGUUGUCGGCGUUGCAGUCGGGGAUGAUUUUGGACAGCUGCACGAUCCAGUUGUUGAUUUUAUCCCUCCUGCGCCGCUCCAC